rnacentral:rRNA from 1 species
GUAGGGAAUCUUCCACAAUGGACGAAAGUCUGAUGGAGCAACGCCGCGUGAGUGAAGAAGGUCUUCGGAUCGUAAAACUCUGUUGUUAGAGAAGAACGUGCGUGAUAGUAACUGAUCAUGUAAUGACGGUAUCUAACCAGAAAGCCACGGCUAACUACGUGCCAGCAGCCGCGGUAAUACGUAGGUGGCAAGCGUUGUCCGGAUUUAUUGGGCGUAAAGGGAACGCAGGCGGUUUUUUAAGUCUGAUGUGAAAGCCUUCGGCUUAACCGAAGAAUAGCAUUGGAAACUGGAAGACUUGAGUGCAGAAGAGGAGAGUGGAAUUCCAUGUGUAGCGGUGAAAUGCGUAGAUAUAUGGAGGAACACCAGUGGCGAAGGCGGCUUACUGGACUGUAACUGACGCUGAGGCGCGAAAGUGUGGGGAGCAAACAGGAUUAGAAACCCCGGUAGUCC